GACGAACGCUGGCGGCGUGCUUAACACAUGCAAGUCGAACGAUGAAGAAAAGAAUCGAAGCUUCGGCAGAAAUUCAUUUCGGAUUAGUGGCAGACGGGUGAGUAACGCGUGAGCAACCUACCUCUUACAAAGGGAUAGCCUCGGGAAACCGGGAUUAAUACCAUAUAACAUUGUGACGAAGCAUUUCGAUGCAAUCAAAGCUACGGCGGUAAGAGAUGGGCUCGCGUCACAUUAACCGGAUGGUGAGGUAACGGCACACCAUAGCGACGAUGGGUAACCGGGCUGGGAGGGUGAACGGUCACACUGGAACUGAGACACAGUCCAGACUCCUACGGGAGGCAGCAGUGGGGAAUAUUGCACAAUGGAGGGAACUCUGAUGCAGCGACGCCGCGUGAGUGAUGAAGGAAUUCGUAUCGUAAAACUCUGUUCUAUGGGAAGAAAAGGACUGUACCAUAGGAGAAAGCACCGGCUAAAUACGUG
rnacentral:rRNA from 1 species